rnacentral:rRNA from 1 species
GACGAACCGUCCUAACGUUGUUCGGAAUCACUGGGCUUAAAGGGCGCGUAGGCGGGCCGCCAAGUCUGAGGUGAAAUCUUUCGGCUUAACCGGAAAAUAGCCUUGGAUACUGGCGGGCUUGAGGGAGGUAGGGGCAUGUGGAACUUCCGGUGGAGCGGUGAAAUGCGUUGAUAUCGGAAGGAACGCCGGUGGCGAAAGCGACGUGCUGGACCUCUACUGACGCUGAGGCGCGAAAGCUAGGGGAGCAAACAGG